UAUGUACUGUAUUCCUAUUCUCAUUAAGCUGUCACAGUGUACAGGAACUCCUCAGUUGCAUUCAGACUGAAAACAGCCCUGUGUAAAACAAUACUAGGGGAUGUGUUGUUGUGGGCAUGCUGAAAGUGCCAGUGAGACAAUGAAAUAUGGUCCAGCCAGUUCGGUUAGAGUAACAGAUUACUGUGUUUAAAGGCUGAUCAGAAAAACACUGCACAGCGGUUUGUAAUAUUCAUAGACUGGAUUUUACAACUCUAGAAAAUGAUCACGGAACCCUGUUUACCAGUGCGCACAUGUGGAACGCGUCUGUGUCUGCGGACCUCCAAAAAAAAAGUAUGAAUGGAACUGCAUGCACGUCCGCGGUUUGUGUGCAAGUCCGCAGCUAUCCACGGACGCGGAACGCAAAAAGUAUGAAAAGGCCUUUAGUGAUCCGGUGCGUCCAGAUGCAUCCUUGCCGGAGGUGGUCUGUUUCCAGCAUUAGGGAACCCAGAAACCUGUAUUGAAGGUCAGAGCAUGAGACCUUCAAUCAAACGCAUGGGUCUACUAGAGGACAGUUGAAUUGCUCAAGGACAUUUUCUGUAGAUGAUUGCAAACAAAGGUCUAUGUCGUUGGUCCUCCCGUUGAAACUGGUGUCUCUAACUACCAGGCCACCCUGGUAAAUGUGUGUGUGUGGCCAUCCUGAGGAAUGUGGAGUAUUUGUCUGCCCAAACGUCGUUUGUCUGCUGAGGCUUCUUGUAUGUUUGCAGUGUAUUUGUGUACACAUGCAAAUCUCUUGGUCAUUUAUGCAGGGCUCACUGUCCGUCUCUUAAUGAAGCUCUCAUGUGUCCCAUUACUGGCUGGCAGACAGCGUAACUGGGGACAUAAAGCUGCCAGUUGUUUUUCAGUUAGAUAAGUAUACGUCGUACAUCUGUGGCAAAGAUAUGUCACUGUGACUAAUUCUUUUAUACUACAAUGAAGGAGUUUAGAGAGGAGGAAAUCCACUUGAGGAAAGGACGAUGGUUGGAAAAAACACAUCUGUGCACUCCAACUGACUUUAAUUUAAACUCUGUUUUACAUGAUAUCACAUUCAUCCAGAGACUAUGCAAAAAUUUGUUUUGAGAUUUUGAUUUGACAGCAGAACAUCUAUAUUUGCACAAAAAGCUUUUGUUGAGGCUCCAGGCCUGUGAAAUGUCCACUACAAUUGAAGUUUUCUGCAUUUCAGUGUGCAGUAUGCAUUUACUUACUGUCUGUAUGUGUAGGUAUGUAGGGCCCCAGAGAAACCUGAUGGGAUAUUAGGUCAACAAAGCCAGUAGAAAAAGAAAUGUGUUAUGAAAUCUCUAACCUCUCUGGCUUUGAGUACAACAUCCCGUCAGAAUUUAUGUUCUUGCUUCGCAACACGGAUGCUGCGGUGGGGAGUUGGCUGUUCUGGGUCUCAAACCCAGCUGGACAUCUGCAUUACAUUUUUCUUUCCUCUGCUCGGCUGACUGGUGGCCUCUGAAAACAGCGUGCAGCAUCAUCACCAUCAUCAGGGACGGAAGAGGAGGAGGAGAUGCCUCGGAAGGAAGUAUAUGAAUUAGGGGUUCCCUUGCCAUAUUUCAAAGUCUCUUACACACAGGUUUUUUAAAUUUAUACAGAAAAUGUUUUCUGCAGGCCUUAUGACCCAAACAAAUCUCAUAUGCUGUUGAGCAACAUUAUUUACAUCUGUUAGUAUCUCAACUGCAAGAGAUGAUUUUGUUGAACAAAAUACAAGCAUAUAGGCAGUUCCCUGUUCAAAACUCUCCCCACAUGAAUUUUGCAGCAGGGCCACUGAGCAGAACUAAUUUCAAAAGGACAUAACUGCUGGACAACUUAUCUGAAACAGCAAGAGCAAAUGUCAUCAAACCUUCAGACUCUGUGUCUCCAGUCUUUGACGAAUACUCAACAUCAGCAAAUCUAAUAUUUUCUCAUGUUGUAUAAACCUGCAUCUGAACUCUAUAAAAGAAAACAACUGCGACAAGUUUCUUCUAAAUUGAAUUGUUUGGUGAAAUAGAAUUGAAUUAUGAAAAAAAUAUCGGGAAAUGUCAGAAGUCAGCAUGGGGUUAAGAACCUCAUCAUGCGUUUUUAUGGUAUGUUACUGAUUACAAGCUCUGUAACAACCAUAGUAGUAGCUAUUGUCCCAUGUUAUAGGAGUAACUGAUUCAGAAAUGUUGCAGUUAACAACAUAUUAAUCACUAAUUAUACAGAAUUUAACACAUAAAAGAGCAGCGAAAGUGGCUGAUUCAGUAUAACCAUAUUCUCUGUUUCAGUGUUGACUCUCAAUGUUGAUUGGAUUGAUAACGGCAACAGGAAGAGCAAUGAGUGUUGUCGGUUAAUUAGAGGAAAUGAGAGUUGUAUCAAUGAGCUGUACUGAUGAGGAUUUGGGGUCAGCGGGUGACACAUGCGGGGCCGUGCCAACAUCAUGAUCCGGGCCCUCCUUAGUCAACUCAAAUCUGAAGGGGAGGCUUCCUGUACACUCUGUGGGGAUAACAAGCAGCCCAUUGUGUGCGUCUGAGUGCGUGAUUGUGUGUGUGUGUCUUUGUGAUGGUGGAAGUGGAGGGUCGAGGACAACCCUGAUGAGGAGACUGUGACCAGGUGUCAUGUGAUGGGUGGAAGCGAACACAAUGGCCACUUGAAGAAGAAAGUAAACAACAUUAACCCCUGCUGGUAUCUUCUUGUGUAUCCAGCCGCUGCAGUGACCCCUCACCCACCCACAGAGAGUCACACAUCCCUACAGGAGCUUUCUACAGCCAUGUAAUGACACAACGCUUCAGGCUUUCAGUGUUUACGUUUCUUUUAAAUCCUGUCGAGCAUGUAGGACUUCACCCUGUCUCCCCAAAAAGCAGGAUUGCCUAUAUAUCUAUAAUCUAAAUAAAUCUAAAUAAAUAGUGUACAUACAUUGGUCUAACAACUGUUUUCCAUUUGCUUUAACCCGUUAACAUCCAGUUGUCUUUGAUUUCCCCAUUAAAUAGAUUUAAGAUAUGAAAAAUGGUCAUAUUUCAAACUAUCUGACAGAAUCACAUACGUAGUUUAUUGGCCUGUUCCAGCUCUUCAUUGGAGUUUUAUGAUGUUUAGAGAGAGAGAAUAUAUUCAAACCCUAGCCUCCAUAUUUUUAUGGCUGCAUCAUUCCAUCAAAUGGAAAUUUUCCAGAUGUCUUGUGCAUCAUUUUAUACACAUUUCACCCCAAAUCAGUCUGACAUACGCAGUAUGUUUAUCUCUGGAAACUUUGGGAUCUGAAUUUAAAGUUUUGUGGGUUUGAACAAUGGUUGGCAGUAUAGCAUGAGUUUGUGUUAACCGAGUCAUCUUACAUGAGGCUCAGUGCAAGAUAAGCAUAGCAUAAUUUACAAAAAUGUCUAUUUACUAAAACUGUUAAAGAAUAUAGAAAUAAAACCUUUUACAAUCAUUAA